rnacentral:lncRNA from 13 species
GACUUGGAUGAGGCCCCACCCACCUCCGCCCUCGUCCCGCGACCCUGGCCGGCUCGGCCUCCCCGCGGGGUGAGCGGGGCCUGGGGUGCUCACGCCGCCCACCCAGGGGACCGCGCAGGGGUGAACUCCCCGCCGCCCCACCUGCGACUUCCAGACCUCGGGCGCCCCGGCGUCGCCUCGAGAGCUCCCCGCGCGGCCGCCACUGCCCGGGUCAGCUCGAGCUCCCCCACACGCGUAGCCACUGGGCUCGCCGAGGGCGGGUCCCGAGGUUUCCAAGGCCUCGAGCGCGCGCUCUCCGGGACCACCGAGACGUUCCGGGCCGCGCGCUCUCGAGCGCUCCCCGUCACGCGACUGCGCCGCCCCGCCCGUCGGCCUCGCUCCCGCCACAGAGCCCGGAGCGCGCCGCCGCGGUCACGCCGCAGAUGCCCACGCGCGCGUCUUAGCAGCCGACUCGUCACCAGCCUGCUCAGACUAGGUUCUGUCCACUCUGACCUUCUAAAUGGCGGAGUUUCACCCUUGUUGCCCAGGCUGGAGUGCAACGAUGCAAUCUGGGCCCACUGCAACCUCCGCCUCCUCAGUUCAAGAGAUUUUGCUGCCUCAGCCUCACGAGUAGCUGGUAUUAUAAGCAUCCACCAUCAUGCCCAGCUUCAGCAUCUAAUUCAAUGUCUGCAACGGAACAGGUGA